rnacentral:misc_RNA from 1 species
UUAGUUGCAAUUCUGAGAAAGAGAACAUUCCAAGUGAUAUAAAAAAGAUAAAUUAUAUAUGCUCUAUUCUAUUCUUUAUUCAUUACCAUGUAAGAAGCCAAUGCAAUAUGCAGAAAGGAUGCAACUCAUGCAAGACAAUAAACAUAACUGGUAUCUGAGGACCACCAAAUGCCAAUUAUAUAAAAAGAAAAAGAAAUAAAAAUAAUUUUUAAAAAGGAAUGAAAACGCUAUAAGCAUCACAUAUUCCACAAAGAAAGACUAGAGAACUGCAAGUGGGACGUUGUGUAAACAUAGCAUAUUAUUGAAUCCAGUAACUGUUUUGACUCCUCCAGGUGGUAGCAGAUAGCAAGUAACAAUCACAAGCCUCUGAACCUAGCACACACUCAAUAAUACAAAUAACUGGCUUAUAUGUGUGUGUGUGUG